GGGGUCGGAGGUGGCGAUGGCAGCUCUGGCUAUGGCGGAGCUGCAUUUCACUGCUUGGGCUUUCUCCCGGCCAAUCUGAUUACAUCGUGCUACUUUUGAUUUUUCGUCAUCGAGUCGUGUGUACAUUCUAUUGAAAUUUGUGGGUUCCACCUUGUGAUUCACGGCGCAUCUGUUUCGCACAGAUGGAGUAGUAGUGGUGUUGCGGUCAAGGCACGGUGUCAGAGUUUUUCUAUGGAGCAGUCAGUGGCUCAUGUUUUCGUGGCACGAUGAGUCAGUAGAACUGGACAGAAUUUGAGAUUUCUGCAGGCAUGUGAGUGGGAAGCAGUGAGGACAUGUGCGUUUUAGCGGUGAUUGUCAAGGGCGUGGUCAUUGCAUGGAUGCUGGCAUUCCAUGCAAAAAUACGAGUUUCAUGACCCCUGCCUUUAUUUAAAGUCAUGGAAAUUAGAAUCCUUAACGGGGGGAUGAUGAAGUUCUCGCUGCCGCCCCAUGUCUACAAGUUUUUGUUGCCUGCACAGCUACGUCAUCAUGCACAAACGCUGCUGUUGUCCAUGUUGGCUCGAUAUGCCUUGAUGAGAGACGCAAACUUUCACUGUUGGGAGCUGAUUCGUAUGCUGAUAGUUUGGUAUUAGGAAAACGAAGGUGUUGGUGUGGGAGUGGUCGAGUUGGAAGUAAAUGAGCGACAAGAGUGUCAGAUUUUACAAUACAAGGGUGGAUACGGGCUCCUUGGAGCCUAGCUCAUCUCCACACCAUGAUUAUAAUACCAAAAGCUGGUUGAUUGUACCCAAAUUCUUCCUCACAAUGGACCAGGAAGAUGGACGCUAUGCGAUGAUUUGAGGUCUGAUCUCACGCGUCCACAUGAAUCUUUUCAAGACAUGGUUUCGGAUUUCCAGAUUGCUACAUUCUUAAAAGUCUUCGUAUGGAUCUUUGAUCACCUUUUUUUUUCUUCUCUCUCUCUCUCUCUCUCUCUCUUAUCGCUGGUUUCGGAAGCCAGCUCUGCAAAACUAGCUGCGCUGUGAUAGCGUUGAGAAUUGAGAUACUAUCUCCUACUUCAUGUGUCUAAAUAGUACAAUAGAUACAAUGAGUCAUUGUAAUCUCUGCAUAGUUUAGCAAUGCUAGUUCUGUUUUGUAAUUAUGGUUUUUGUAGUUUUUUUAGUUAGUUGGUUUUAUUAAAGACGGCUGUUUUCUAUUUUGUGUUCUUUACAAGUAAUUGGUGGGCAUGUUUUAAACAAAACAAUGUCUUUGUCUUCUUUUUGUCUUUUUUGCUGUAAAUUUUUCGACUCUCGGACUUGACACUUCAUUCGAUCCUUGAGCCAGCAGAGAAUGUGAGUCUUCGACUGCCAGCCAAGUGCUGCCAUCUAUGUGAGAAUAUUUGAAUAUUUGAUGGGUGAGAAGUAA